GGGCCCGCACAAGCGGCGGAGCAUGCGGCUUAAUUCGAUGAUACCCGUAGAACCUUACCUGGACUUGACAUAUAGGGUCAAGCUAUAGAGAUAUAGUGUGCAUUAGCGCCCUAUACAGGUGGUGCAUGGCUGUCGUCAGCUCGUGUCGUGAGAUGUUGGGUUAAGUCCCGCAACGAGCGCAACCCCCUGUCCUAUGUUGCCAGCAUUUAGUUGGGGACUCAUAGGAGACUGCCGUGAUAAACCGGAGGAAGGUGGGACGACGUCAAGUCAUCAUGCCCCUUAUGUCCAGGGCUGCACGCAUGCUACAAUGGCAAGUACAACGAGUCGCAAUACCGCGAGGUGGAGCAAAUCCUCAAAACUGGGCCCC
rnacentral:rRNA from 1 species